rnacentral:rRNA from 1 species
UACGGGGGGGGGGGGCAAGCGUUGUUCGGAAUUACUGGGCGUAAAGGGCCAGUAGGCGGCCAACUAAGUCGGAUGUGAAAUCCCCAGGCUUAACCUGGGAACUGCAUCCGAUACUGGAUGGCUUGAAUUCGGGAGAGGGAUGCAGAAUUCCAGGUGUAGCGGUGAAAUGCGUAGAUAUCUGGAGGAACACCGGUGGCGAAGGCGGCAUUCUGGACCGACAUUGACGCUGAGGAGCGAAAGCCAGGGGAGCAAACGGGG